ensembl:lncRNA
GUCAAAGUAUUAUUAAAAUCAACAACAACAACUACCUCAUUGAUCAAAAGGAAAUAAAAGAGCUUUGGUUACAAUAUCCAUGACCUGGAAUAACAGACAGGAUCAAAAGAGCCACGUGCUCUUCACAAUCUCACAUCAUCGAUAUCUCUUCAAGGACUCAGACCUAUUGUUACACUCAAACAAGGAUUGACAGAGGAACAGAGAAAGUAUCAAGAUCAAACACAUCAAACAGAAAAAAAGACUUGGAAAUGUUCCUGUGAGACAUGGAAAAGUACCAAGAUCUGUCAAGGAUAAACAUGUUUUCUUCCCUGAAUCAGCCCUUAAAGUCAGUGAAAAUGGUUUCCAAUAAUGAAUCACCAAAUGAAAAAGCCCUGUUUUUAUUGGACUUAACUUCAUAAUUUCUAUGAAACAAGAGGAUAGAUGGAACGUGGAGGCAAGCAACUAGUAGAGGACGCCUGAUUCUGCACUUAGGAAACCCCAUGGCUUAAAUACUGGAGUACUGGGGAAGAGUCUGGGGAGACGACGGAAGAUCUACUCAGCAUAUGGGGUACCUCAAGCCACUUUCCUUUUGCAAGAGAAGCCAUUUGGGUUUGAGAACAGCAGAGAGAAACUGUUUGGAUCUGUGAUCAUCUCCAAACAAGUGCACUUAUUCACCCAAAAAAAAAAGUCAAAGAUAAUUUUUACAUUUAAAAGAGGUACAUGUAUACACAAUGUAAAUUUUCUUAAUCUGUUGUUUAACAAAAAUAUAACAAAAUUACAUUGCAAAGAAGUAAAAUAUUGUGUAAAAAGAAGUCUGGAAGCUUUUUACGUAUUUUCUAUAUAUAUUUUCCAAAUAUUUGUGCCAGUCUUGGAUCAUAGGAAAUGGGACACAGAAGAUUGUUCCUAUCUGCAGUCUCUGGUGAGCAGCACAAUGUCUGCAUUACCACUUGUCCUAGGUGAGCUGUUUUUGUAAUAUUGGCCUUUAAAAAAGAAAAUUAAAGCUUUGUUAAGAUGUCCGAGUAGGUGGAAAGAGAAGAGGGCUUUUCUCCCACUCUGCUCCUCUCUUGAGAACAACUUCACUAAAAUUCAGAAUUCAGAAAUGUUUCAAAUGUUCUCAAAAAGGCUGUGAUCCUUCAGAGUCCUAUCAAUAAAUCAGUUCACAGAAUCUGGUAGGGUUUAUUUAUCUGACUGGACCUAAGGAAUUUGUACUAAAUCACUACAUUUUUUGAAAUAUUGGUUCUCGAAUGAAAUAUCAAAACAGAGUGAGAAAGACAAAAAUAUUCUGACCUGACAUCUUAAUGCAGCGUUACUAUAAAAACAGGGAAAGUAAAAGUUAUAUUUCCAGAGACGGCUAAUUUUAACAGCAACUGACAACAAAAAAAUCCUUUCAUUUUAGUAAUUGGUUUGUAACACAUAUUCUGCUUUGUUUAUUACAUCUUACAGAAGACUGACUUACAUAUGGAAGAAUCCAACUUAGUCCAGCUGUACAAAAUGGUAAGUACUAAAUAAUUACAACUCAGAUUUUUUUUCAUAUAUUUGAAUGUUACCUGAAAUGAAUGUCCAAAAAAAUCUACACACUGGGAAAUUCCCUGAAUCAAAAUUAUAUAAAAUCAAUGUAGAUAAACAUUUAGGAAUGGCUGUGUUCAAGUUCUGUAUUAUAUCCCACUUUAGAUCAAAUAUUCCAGUAGUUCCAUUCAACAUUUAAAAGAUACACAGGAUACACACACACACACACAUACACANNNNNNNNNNNNNNNNNNNNNNNNNNNNNNNNNNNNNNNNNNNNNNNNNNNNNNNNNNNNNNNNNNNNNNNNNNNNNNNNNNNNNNNNNNNNNNNNNNNACAUUUAAAAGAUACACAGGAUACACACACACACACACAUACACACACAUGUGUGUUAAAUAUACUCACAAGGUGAUAAUAAUGAGAGCUCUAAGUGCAAUUCAGUUUUUGAAAAACUCAAAUUAUUUCUUCAUCACUCUGCACUCUCUACUCAUCAUGUACAGCAUUUAAAAAUGCCAUCUAAAGGAAAAUAAAUCUUUCAGGAAAAUUUCCUUUAAAUGGAACCAAAGGUUAAAAGACCCACAAUGGAAGCCCUGAAGCACAAAGGAUGCCAAUAUUACCUUAAGCAAUUUACAAUGAGCUUUAAUUUACCCAUUUAGAAAACUUGAUUUCCAUAGGAAAGGUGCAGAAGUCAUAAAUCUUGUCCUGCUAGGAAGUCUAAGAGGGGAAAACAAAACAAAAUUUCACCAGCUUUUGUUCAUUAACUCUUUCAUGUUACUGAUAGCUAUGUUGUUAGACAAUGUUUUGAGAGUAUUAAUUAACAUCCUAAUAGAUUAUAGCUUUAGAACUUCCAAGACAGAGAUUUAGUCAAUUUAGCUAUGUAACAAAGCUUGAAAAAUAUUUUGUGCUCUUUGAAAUGUAUGAUAUUCAAGUUUUUUUUCCAUGUACACAACCAUAUGAAUUUAAAAUUAACUCCUAUAAAACAGAACACUGUAUAUAGCUC